CCUCUUUGAUUCUUUCCAAACUUGAUAAAUUCACUACUGCCACGUAGGAUUUUUGUAUACGUGUCCUAUUCUCUUCAUUCUACGCGUUUUGUCUUCUUCUCCCUUAGAUGAAUCCCAUUCUAAUUAGGUUACACGGUUAGACACCCUCCCCAUCCUUCUCCUACCUUAAGCAAAGAAAACCCUAAAUCGAUAUUCUUUUUAUCUUAAUCUCGAUCCCUUGUAUCAAUUACAACGAUUCUUCCCUAUUCCUUUCAUCUGAAUCACGAUCUCUUUAAACCAAAUUCGCACCAUAUGAUGAUAUACCUUAAAUCAAUAACACCGCUCACCUUUCUGAUGAACACUCGAAUAGCCCAUCAGAGAUUUUUCUCCGCCGCAAUCGCAAGCAUUCCGGCCAAACUUCGCUGGUGUCGAUCGAACUCCAAUUGAAGGUAAAUAUUGGUGUCUAAUCCUCAGACUUUUUGGUUGGCGCUUUCUCCGUUUGAUGUCACUUUCUUUUUGGUUCUUUUCAGGCCUUUGAUGUCUAAUCCUCGGACCUGAUAGGUUGGCGCUUUUUGUGGAAGGGGCUCGAUCUACUCAAUCAAAGCUUUUGGCAGAUCAAGAAUGCCAGUGGCCUUAAAUAUUCCCUUGCUACUGGGAACCGGGGGCAAUUGACAUUUAAAGGGAUUGCUGUUAUUAUCAAUAUUGGAUGUGUAUGCUUUCGGCCUUUUAUAGUUUUAUCUUGGUACUCCAGAUGCUCAAAGGAAUACUUGUGUCGUGUAACCAGUGAUUACUUAGUUAGUAAAGGAUGAUAAAAAUACAUUAUUUAUUGUAUUCUUGGUUUAAAGAGGUUGGCUGUUGAUUUAAUUUGUUUUUAGCUUUGUAAUGGUGGUGACUGGUGGUUCAAUCCAGUGAAUAGGAAACCAGUGAUCAUAUUGGGAGCAAACAUUUCAGCUAGAGCUAAGAGGAUGGGUAGCCAAAGUGAUUUUUUUUUUGUGUAGGCAAUUUGUUUUCCUUGUGGGAAGUGGCGUUGGGAAUCGUCAUCGUGCGAAAACUUGUGAAUUGGGUUUCAUUAUUUACAAUGAGACUGAUUAGUCUUCAGUUGAUAUUGAAUUACAGACAGUAUUUUUUCAUCAAUGCAAGAAGUUGUUUGUACCACACCCUUAGAUGAAGUCAUAGGUGAAGUCUUGAAAGCCAAAUGGGAUCAUGAGAGGACUAAAUUUAUGGUUUCUAUUAUAGAUAACAAGGUUAAAUAAAUAUUUGUGUGUAAAAAUUGUAAUUUGUUAUAUAUUGUGUAUUUUUAUUGUAAUAUUCUCCAGCUAUAUAUAAAAAGUCUCAUCCACUU
rnacentral:lncRNA from 1 species